rnacentral:lncRNA from 1 species
UUAAAUUAAUGAAAUGUUUCAGCAUGAUUCAUGCAUCAUAAAUGCUAUGUAUAUUUUAGGUUGUUGCAUUAGUUUCACGAAUAUGUUGCAUUGCACAUAUUGAUGUUAGUGUGGAUGGACAUUGAAUGAUCCAUAGCCCCCAACCUAUGAUAUGAUGUUAUGUUAUGCAUGAUACAGAAUGAAAGACCAGUGGGACCCAUUCUACGUUCGCUGGCACUAUGUAAGAGAAAGACCAGGACCCAUUCUAUGUUCUGGCAUAGUUGGACAGUUAUGUAUGUUUAAGGGAAAGACCAGGACCCAUUCUACGUUCUGGCACAGUUGGACAAUGUGGAGGGCUAUUGGUGACAAUUCCAU